AUGACUCACGGCGGUUGGCAGGGCUCUGACGAGGCUGGCCCCGGCCCGCGCUCCAGCCCGCAGCAGAUGCCUGCCCGGCCCUCCCUUCCCUCGCCGGCCAAACCCGCCCGGAGCCCCGGGGCUGCGGGAGCGCCCUCCGCCUCCGCGGGACCCGAGCGGCCGGGACUCGGCCCGCGCCUCCCGCCCGGCCCGCACCACCCUCGGCUCGCGCGGCCGCCUCUCCCCCCUCCUCCUCCCGCCCCCCGCCGCCUCUGCGGUCCCGGCCGGGCACACUCCGGAAAGUUGCUAGGGCCGCGGAGGCGGGAGGGGAGGAAGGGAGGAGAGAGGCGGAGGCGUGGACCAAGCGGGCAGCAACCGGGCCCGCCAGGGAGCGAGGAGCGUGUGAAACCCGUCAAUCCUGUUUGCCAUUUCCCCGUGGAUUUCCGAGGAGAGGUUCUGCACGAUGCCCCCAGGCAAACGGAGAUGAGAAACAGCUGUGUUUGCAGGACCCGAGCAGUUCUUCUCCCUCGCCGCCCGCCCCGCCCGUUCCCGCCGGAGCUGUGUGUGUGUAGUGUAUCAAAAAAGCAACCUUGGUCGGACUGCAACUGGAAUUGGCAACUCUUUCUGGUGAUCCUCCGACUGUGA
rnacentral:lncRNA from 1 species